rnacentral:rRNA from 1 species
UACGUAGGUGGCAAGCGUUGUCCGGAUUUACUGGGCGUAAAGAGCGCGCAGGCGGUCGUUCAAGUCGCGUGUGAAAGCCCCCGGCUCAACUGGGGAGGGUCACGCGAUACUGAUCGACUCGAAGGCAGGAGAGGGUAGUGGAAUUCCCGGUGUAGUGGUGAAAUGCGUAGAUAUCGGGAGGAACACCAGUGGCGAAGGCGACUACCUGGCCUGUUUCUUGACGCUGAGGCGCGAAGGCUAGGGGAGCAAACGGG